rnacentral:misc_RNA from 1 species
AAGUCGUAACAAGGUCUCCGUAGGUGAACCUGCGGAGGGAUCAUUAACACGUGCCAAAACACGUUUCUAACCAAUCAUCUGUGAACAUAAACCCAACUCCCUUUACAUAUGGACGACCGAAUAACCAUCAGGGUGGAGUGCGUGGAUAGGGAACAAUCGACCUUCGGGAAGACUCGCUAUCUCGCAACUAUGGCUCGGUCUAGGGCUCCAGUGAGAGUCCAAUCCAUGGCAGUGUGCCUUUCAUGGUCUGCUUCGGCAGACUGUUGACUGGCAAGCGUUCUGCCGAAUAUUUUAACCCAAUUUUUAACCCCUUUAACAACAUACUAAUAACUGAACCAUGUUUCAUGUAGACGCCCUGGCUUCGGCCAUGCAACGGCUCAUGAAUACGAUAUACGUAAUGCUGAACAACUCUUAGCAAUGGAUAUCUUGGUUCUC